GGUACUUGCCCCCUGAGUGUUUUGUGGUGGGGAAGGAGCCUCCUAAGAUCUCCAACAAAGUGGAUGUCUGGUCUGUGGGGGUCAUCUUUUUCCAGUGCCUCUAUGGGAGAAAGCCGUUUGGGCACAACCAGUCCCAGCAGGACAUCCUCCAGGAGAACACCAUCCUCAAAGCCACAGAGGUGCAGUUCCCCGUCAAGCCGGUAGCCAGCAACGAGGCCAAGGCUUUUAUCCGGCGCUGUCUGGCCUAUAAGAAGGAGGACCCGCUUCGAUGUCCAGCAACUGGGCAGUGACACGUACCUGCUGCCCCACAUGAGGCGCUCCAGUUCGUCGGGCAACCUGCAGCUCGGCGGUCCUUCCUCCUCCAGCCCCGCCUCCACCAGCAUCAUCUCCUACUGAGGGCCUGCACUGACUCCUCCCAUCACUAUGCUACAGGCACACCCCCUCGGCUGAAGGCCACACCCCCCCCCCCCCCCCCCCCCACGCAAAACAAAAAAGCUUAAGUGUGAGAGAGAUGGACAGAAUAAAAGACACUGAGAAAGAGAAGAGAAGGGGGGAUGGGUUUGGAAGAGGAGGAGGAAAAGAGGGGGCAAAAAAAGCAGCACCAGUAUCCAGAGCCCUGAUGGGCCACAGUGAAGUGAAGUCCUCUCAAAAAGACUUCUUUUGGGGAAGGAAGGAGGGAAUUUGGAGAGCUGGAGAUGUUGGCUUGGACUGCGCCCAGGCUUGUUGAGAUGUGAGGGUGUUUCCUAGAGGAGAGAACCGAUAGUUUUAAGAUAGGAGAGAGACAAGUAAUAAAUGAACCUGGAUGGAUUGGAAAAUGGUUAGAGAAGAAUGUAGAAGAUGAUGAUGAUGAAGAUUUGGCAAGACAGAAGAGAGCCCAAGAGAGACACUGAGUGGAAGAGUGAACAUGGCCUUUUUUUUUUUCUUUUUUUCUUUUUUUUUUUUUUCCUCCAAUGAAGAUUCUGGUAGAGCACUGCUAACCUGUUUAGCUUAUCAAGUGACUAAUGAAGUUGUCCUGAUUUGCUUAAUGGCAGUGGAGACCAAGCCCUGUGUCUGGCCCCGUGUUACUGUAGGUGCCACCAGGGGGCGCCAGCAGGCACCAUCUCUGAAACACACCUGCAUGGCCCCUUGCUUUGGAACGGAGUCAGGUUUGGCAUGGCACCGGUGUUCUGUUGGACUGCCACUGUAAGAGUUCUAGGACUGAACCAUCUGCUCCCAACCAGGACUAGAACCGGUCCAAAGGUUUGGGGCUGCCUGGGAAGAUGUCUCAACAAAUAAUGAAAUAACGUUGCUUAGAUGCUUGGUAGGUCUAAAGCACAGGGGUGAUCGCUUUUCUGUUUCAAAGUUUCUUUUAAAAAAAAAAAAAAAAAAAAAGAAGAAAAACCAGAUAUGCGAGGGUAUAGCUCCGUCAUCCUUUUUUGUUCUUUGAUGAGCAGGUUAGUCACAAGAAUGUAAUUUUAGUGUAUCCAUCAAUGAGAUUUAGUGUUCCCAGACCCCCAAGGCUACAUACUAAUGUUGAAUGCACAAAAAUAACCAAAUCUAGACAUGCCGCUAUGUACAGAAUCCUAUGCAGGAAGAAUAAACUCACACAGAAAAUAAAAUAAAGUUCUUGUAGAGAUGUACCUGUAUAUUUGCUGUACAGAAUCGUAAUUUCAAAUAUCAAAUAAAAAAAAAAAAACAUUUCAUUCUGUACAAAGGUUUAUCUUUUGUUUCCUUAACUUCUUUUUUUCCUUGUAAAUUUGUUUUUUCUUUUUGUUUUAUUUUGCUCCUGGAGUGUUUUUUGGCUGCUUUGGAUGUUGCUCUUUUUAAGGAAAAAAAAGGCUGUAUGAUCUUUGGGUACAAAUUGUACAGUUCUGUCAAAAGAAUUAAUGACAAUAAAUGCCAGGAAAUAACUUCA